rnacentral:rRNA from 1 species
UACGGGGGGGGCAAGCGUUGUUCGGAAUUACUGGGCGUAAAGGGCUCGUAGGCGGCCAACUAAGUCGGAUGUGAAAUCCUGCGGCUCAACCGCGGAACUGCAUCCGAUACUGGGGAACUUGAGGACGGUAGAGGUCGGUGGAAUUCCAGGUGUACCGGUGAAAUGGGCAGAUAUCUGGAGGAACACCAGUGGCGAAGGCGGCCGACUGGGCCGAUCCUG